CCUACGGGGGGCAGCAGUGAGGAAUAUUGGUCAAUGGACGAGAGUCUGAACCAGCCAAGUAGCGUGAAGGAUGACUGCCCGAUGGGUUGUAAACUUCUGUUAUAAAGGAAUAAAACGAGGCACGUGUGCCGUUUUGCAUGUACUUUAUGAAUAAGGAUCGGCUAACUCCGUGCCAGCAGCCGCGGUAAUACGGAGGAUCCGAGCGUUAUCCGGAUUUAUUGGGUUGAAAGGGAGCGUAGAUGGGUUGUUAAGUCAGUGGUGAAAGUUUGCGGCUCAACCGUAAAAUGGCAAUUGAUACUGGCAGUCUUGAGUACAGUUGAGGUCGGCGGACUUCGUUGUGUCGCGGUGACAUGCUUAGAUAUCACG
rnacentral:rRNA from 1 species